rnacentral:rRNA from 1 species
AUGGGGUUGGUUCCUGGAACAAGGUGGUCUUCGUCCCGAGGUUACACACCUGAUGAUGUUUACAGCGAGGUGCAGGAACAAGCAGAGGCCGAGGAAGUGCAGGCACGCGUUGCUGACCUUGGCAGGUGUAGGAACCACGCGAGGAAGGUUCAGCACGCUGCACUAGUCAGGCCACGCCCGGGGCACCGUGCCAACACAUGUGUAUGUGGUCGGUGGGUUGGCCAACCCGCCAACAUCUGCAUUCUGCGAUUUCAUCUUCACCAUGGACACAAGCAAGGACUGAUUGGUGGGUCUUGGCCGAGCAUCGACGGAUCGAAGUGGUCGAGGUCGCGGUUAAUCGACCAGGACGAGAGAUGCAUCUUGGAGCUAGCGCAGAGGGGGAAAGAAGCAGGUUGGUCUGGCCUGGACUCGCAAAUGAAUUGGUAUUUCCAGUUCUUUUCCCAUGAAGGUCACAUGCCUAACUUCGUGCUAGACAUUGCUAACUCAGCCACUUGA